GGGAAUGUGGCUCAGUGGUAGAGUGCUUGCCUAGCAUGCAUGAAGCCUUGGGUUCCAUUCCUC
rnacentral:tRNA from 1 species